GAGUUCCUCACCCCCUCUGGGAAAGUCCAAUUUACAGUCAUCUGGUGUCCUCAUUUAAUCCACUACAACCAGUCUCGCCAAACCCAAGUUACAUUCAUCCUCAACUACCCCCCUCCCUCUUCUUCCACCAUGGGUAAAAGAACCGAACCUUUACUGUCUCAACCACAAUAAAAUCCAGAAAGGAUGUCACUUUUCUUUCCAACUCUAUCAAUACCCUCUUGGGAUUCUUCAACUUCUAGACCCAUUUCUCCAUGUUCGAGUUCUCUCAAAGACCCUCCUUUUAGCUUGCAGGUCAAUGAGAUUUUGCACUAUAAAGUACUGAACUUUUUGUGAUUCUAUAAAUGCCCUUUUGAAUAAAUUACUAAGUUUGUUGGUUUCUGGUGGUUUAUGUUAGCUUGUGACAAGGAAUUUUGGAGGAGGAGGUGGUUUAUGUAGAAGGUUUUGUGGGUUAAAGCUAUGGAUGACCCAGAGAUUCAAUAUUUGGCAAAUGAAUAGGAAGUCUGGACUUUUGAAGGAGUUCAUGACUACAAAAAAUCAAAAUUUUCCCAAUGAUUCCACUGAAGAGUGUGUGCGUGGCAGUUUGUGUAUUGAAAGUUUGUGUUUUGCUGUGAUGAUUACUACCAAAAGGGUGCGCACCUGUGUGUGUCAAUUUGAGUUGAAUUUGUUGUCAAAAAGUGUUUUCUGAGUGUCGAUUCUGAUCAAGAGACAAAAAGAACUUCGGAACCUGAAGAAAGUUCUUGCAUGAGCUCCAACCUGAUUCCUUCGCAAAUGUAGUGCCUUUGCCAAGUCAUUACUUGAAUUAUCCGACUGAGGGUGGUAGAGGACCUUCUCUCUGCAUUGCAGUCAUUGGAGCAACUGGUGAGCUAGCAAAGGGGGAAAUUUUUCUAGCAUUAUUUGCUCUGUAUUAUAAUGGAUUUCUAUCUGAGGACGUCGGUAUCUUUGGUUAUUCAAGAAAGAAUUUGACGGCUGAAGAUCUGAGAUCCAUAAUAGCUUUGACUUUGACUUGUCGCAUUGAUCACCAGCAGAACUGUGGGGACAAAUGGAGGCUUUCCUCUUAAUGGAGGUUAUGAUAGCUGAGAGAGGAUGUCAAAGCUAAAUGCCAGAAUGGAGCAGAUUGAGGUGGGAUCUAAAGCAAACAGGAAUACUACCUUUCUGUGUCACAAGAAGCACUCCUUGAUGUUGCAUCCUGUCUAGCUGAUAAUGCCCAAACACUGAAGAGCUGGAAUUGAAUAAUAUUUGUGAAACCUUUUGGGUUUGAUGCACUGUCUUCUCACCAAUUCACAAAGUCUUCUCUUUAAGUUUGAUGAGAAAUAAUUAUACAAGUUUCAGUUGACAUUAGCUAUAUCUGUUCCGUGUGUGCGCAAUAUUCAUUCAGUAAGCACAUUUUCUUCUGUAGCUAUUCACUUCAUUUGAUUGGAAUAUGACUUCAAUUUUGUGCACAUCAGGAUAGAUCAACUCUUAAGAAGGAACCUCAUUGAUAACCUCACAGUGGUGAGGUUCUCUAAUCUGGUCUUUGAGCCAUUAUGAAGCUGAACUUAAUGUGCACAGUAUGCAGAUCAUUUUGUCAGAAGACUUCCUCUCGCACACAUGUUCUGGGGAACAUCUAUGAUAAUUUAUUUAGAAGAUCAAAAUUUGGCACUAAAAAAAACCAAGAUGCUUUGAUUAUGAGAUUGCCUGAUUUCUCCUUGGCUCUUCAUUGUUUUCAAAUUAGAAUAUGAAGAUUCAAGAAUCCAAACUCAGCUCUUGAAUUCUGUGCUGAAUGAAACUAGAGAACAAGGGAAUUGUGCAGGGUAUUUAUGUGCACAUAGACACAUGCAUUGUGCUAGUUCUUCAAUCUAUGUGAUAGUUACUAGGGGGAGGAAAUGGUGUACCAUUUGCUUACACUAUAUUGAAUUUUCUGACCAUGAUGAACUACA